rnacentral:rRNA from 1 species
GCAGCAGCCGCGGUAAUACGGGGGUGGCAAGCGUUGUUCGGAAUUACUGGGCGUAAAGGGCGCGUAGGCGGCCUGACAAGUCAGAUGUGAAAGCCCCGGGCUUAACUCGGGAACUGCAUCUGAAACUGUUUGGCUUGAGUUCUGGAUGGGGUAGUGGAAUUCCCAGUGUAGCGGUGAAAUGCGUAGAUAUUGGGAGGAACACCUGCGGCGAAGGCGGCUACCUGGACAGAAACUGACGCUGAGGCGCGAAAGCUAGGGGAGCGAACGGGAUUAGAUACCCCGGUAGUCCUAGCUGUAAACGAUGGGCACUUGGUGUUGGGGGUAUUGAGUCCCCCGGUGCCGGAGCUAACGCGUUAAGUGCCCCGCCUGGGGAGUACGGUCGCAAGACUGAAACUCAAAGGAAUUGACGGGGGCCCGCACAAGG